rnacentral:rRNA from 1 species
AAGCCUGACGGAGCAAGACCGCGUGCGGGAAGACGGCCUGUGGGUUGUAAACCGCUUUUGACAGGGAAGAAUAUGUGACGGUACCUGUCGAAUCAGCCUCGGCUAACUCCGUGCCAGCAGCCGCGGUAAUACGGAGGAGGCAAGCGUUAUCCGGAAUUAUUGGGCGUAAAGCGUCCGCAGGUGGUUUAUCAAGUCAGCUGUUAAAGCGUGGGGCUUAACUCCAUAAAGGCAGUUGAAACUGAUAGGCUAGAGUGCGAUAGGGGCAAGGGGAAUUCCCAGUGUAGCGGUGAAAUGCGUAGAUAUUGGGAAGAACACCGGUGGCGAAAGCGC